rnacentral:rRNA from 1 species
UACGGAGGGUGCGAGCGUUGUCCGGAAUCACUGGGCGUAAAGGGCGCGUAGGCGGCCUGAUAAGUAGGGGGUGAAAUCCUGCGGCUUAACCGCAGGGCUGCCUUCUAAACUGUCAGGCUGGAGCACAGUAGAGGCAGGUGGAAUUCCCGGUGUAGCGGUGGAAUGCGUAGAGAUCGGGAGGAACACCUAUGGCGAAGGCAGCUCGCUGGGACGUUACUGACGCUGAGACGCGAAAGCGUGGGGAGCAAACGGG